rnacentral:tRNA from 1 species
GGGGGCCAAUGCGGGCUGGUGUCCGUCACGGUCUUCAAAACCGCUGGGCCCGGCGAACAACCGGGUCGCUCGAUUCGAUUUCGAGUGGUCCCCGCCA